GAUGAUAAAUGAGUAGGGCGGGACACGUGAAAUCCUGUCUGAAUAUGGGGGGACCAUCCUCCAAGGCUAAAUACUCCUGAAAGACCGAUAGUGAACAAGUACUGUGAAGGAAAGGUGAAAAGCACUUCGAAUAGAAGGGUGAAAUAGAACCUGAAACCGUACGCCUACAAGCGGUCGGAGCACCUAUAUGGUGUGACGGCGUGCCUUUUGCAUAAUGAGCCUACGAGUUAAUUUUACUAGCGAGGUUAAGGUAUUAAGUACCGGAGCCGGAGCGAAAGCGAGUCUGAAUAGGGCGUAUAGUUAGUAGGAUUAGACGCGAAACCUUGUGAUCUACCCAUGGGCAGGUUGAAGCUCUGGUAACACAGAGUGGAGGACCGAACCGGUUGACGUUGAAAAGUCUUCGGAUGACCUGUGGGUAGGGGUGAAAGGCCAAUCAAACUGGGAGAUAGCUCGUACUCUCCGAAAUGCAUUUAGGUGCAGCGUCGUAUAUAAGUUUAUUAGAGGUAGAGCUACUGAUUGGAUGCGGGGGUUUCAUCGCCUACCAAUUCCUGACAAACUCCGAAUGCUAAUAAAUGUUCUACGGCAGUGAGGGCAUGGGUGCUAAGGUCCAUGUCCGAGAGGGAAAGAACCCAGACCAACAGCUAAGGUCCCAAAAUAUAUGUUAAGUUGAAGCAACGCGGUUGGACUGCAUUGACAGCUAGGAUGUUGGCUUGGAAGCAGCCAUUCAUUUAAAGAGUGCGUAACAGCUCACUAGUCGAGCGGUCCGGCAUGGAUAAUAAUCGGGCAUAAACAUAUUACCGAAGCUAUGGAUUUGUAUUUAAGAUACAUCUGGUAGGAGAGCAUUCUAUUUGCGCUGAAGCAGUACUGUGAGGUAUUGUGGAGCGGAUAGAAAAGAAAAUGUAGGCAUAAGUAACGAUAAAGCGGGCGAGAAACCCGCUCACCGAAAGACUAAGGUUUCCUCAGCCAUGCUAAUCAGCUGAGGGUUAGUCGGGACCUAACGCGAACCCGAAAGGGGUAGUGGAUGGACAAUGGGUUAAUAUUCCCAUACUUGCUCACACUAAAAAGGGGACGGAGUGCCGUACUUACUGGAGACUGACGGAAUAGUCAAGGCCUAGCCUUCGGGCGAAGCUGCUGUAGGGAAAGUGCUUCCAAGAAAAGCCGAAGUGAAGCAACCCGUACCAAAACCGACACAGGUAGUCGAGGAGAGAAUCCUAAGGUGCUAGAGUGAAUCAUGGUUAAGGAACUAGGCAAAAUAGUCUCGUAACUUCGGGAGAAGAGACGCCAUCAGCAAUGGUGGCCGCAGUAAAGAGGCCCAGGCGACUGUUUAUCAAAAACACAGGACUCUGCAAAAUCGAAAGAUGCAGUAUAGGGUCUGACACCUGCCCGGUGCUGGAAGGUUAAGGAAGGUGCUUAGGGUUAAACCGAAGGCAUUGACUGAAGCCCCAGUAAACGGCGGCCGUAACUAUAACGGUCCUAAGGUAGCGAAAUUCCUUGUCGGGUAAGUUCCGACCUGCACGAAUGGUGUAACGAUCUGGGCACUGUCUCAACCAUGAGCUCUGUGAAAUUGUAGUAUCGGUGAAGAUGCCGAUUACCCGCAAUGGGACGAAAAGACCCUGUGAACCUUUACUAUAACUUCGUAUUGACUUUGAGUAAGUAAUGUGUAGGAUAGGUGGGAGGCUUUGAAGCUUGCACGCUAGUGUAGGUGGAGCCAACGUUGAAAUACCACCCUUUACUUACUUGGAGCCUAACUUCUUUUAGAAGGACAUUGCGUGGUGGGUAGUUUGACUGGGGUGGUCGCCUCCAAAAGAGUAACGGAGGCUUUCAAAGGUACCCUCAGCACGCUUGGUAACCGUGCGUAGAGUGUAAUGGCAUAAGGGUGCUUGACUGUGAGACCUACAAGUCGAUCAGGUGCGAAAGCAGGACAUAGUGAUCCGGUGGUUCCGUAUGGAAGGGCCAUCGCUCAUAGGAUAAAAGGUACUCCGGGGAUAACAGGCUAGUCUCCCCCAAGAGCUCACAUCGACGGGGAGGUUCGGCACCUCGAUGUCGGCUCGUCACAUCCUGGGGCUGGAGAAGGUCCCAAGGG
rnacentral:rRNA from 1 species